ACAUUAAAGAUCCACUUGGCUUACUAAUGCAAGGGGGGCCCAUGACACAGUUUGGUGGGUAGACUGUGUGAACGUAACUUCAUGUGUGCUGUUUUUUUUUUUCUCAUAGCAUAAAUGUAAAAGGCUUGCGUUUCUGAGUGAUUGAUUAGAUGAGUGAGUAAUGUGUGUGUGAGUGUGUGUUUACCAGUUAACACAGCAGGGAGUGGACAGAAGGGCCAAGUGUGACAGGUGGACAGGCGUGAUAAGGAGAGAGCGGUGCAGACCAGCGCUCAGCAGAAGCAGAGCCCAGGAGAAUAUCCAGCCAAAAGCAGCUAAUAGCUGAUACUCAUCAGAGAUAGAGCCGCUGAAGAUUUCUUGUCUCUGUGGAAUAGUCGUUCAUUUCGCUUCAGCCCAAAUUCUCCUCCCUAAAAAUGUACUGUAUUUCGUACAGUCGUGAAAAGAUGUUGUUAAUCAAGUUUAAUACAAAAGGACAAUCAAUGCUGGGACUGAAGGAAUAUGCCAUGAUUUUACAGAUUUCACAUCAGUGUAUCCUAGAGUUUCAGAAGAGAUCUCAGCAAUGUUGUAACUGCAACAUGGGACGAAAAGGAAAAUUCAGAGGGAGCGAGAAUAAUAAAUGCAAAUUAUGAAUCCUUUUACCAAACAUCGUGUGUGUUUGUGGGAAGGUGAUCUCAUACUCUUCACCUCAAAUCACCCACGCAGCAUUUGAGUGUCAGCCUGCACACAUCCCAAUUAAAGCCCUGAGAGAAAGAGAGGUGAAGCUAAAACUCAAAGCCCUUUUAGUAUCCACCCACAGAAUGUUUCUAUAAACACAACUGAGCAAUAGAUGAUCAUCAGCAUUUCAUGUAACAUGAUUAAAUAUGCAAUAUUUUAAUUAAAGCCAAUCUCAUCAGAUGUAUUUCUUCUAAAACAAAUAUGUGAGGUGACAGUUGCUAAUGUGUGUGCAGUUAGUAAGAUGCUCCGGUCAAAAACCACCUGUUAAAUGAUAAUCUGUAACACAUAAAGAAUACGAUUUUGUUAAAAGCAUCUUUAUAGAUAAUGAAUUAUUAUAAAACUGAGAAUUUGCUUAAUUUCGACUGGAUUAGUUGUAUUAAACCUCUAUAAUGUGCAGAUAAACAAAUAAAUAAAAAAUAAAUAAAAAAAUAGCUACAACAAGAUGAUUUUCAUCACAGAUACUAAAUGUUUUAUGAAUUACUUGAAUCUUACAAAAAAAAAAAAAACCCGAAAACUAAAAAUACUAAUCCAACAAUAUUCCCCCAAAUGUUGAUUUUGAUAUU
rnacentral:lncRNA from 1 species